rnacentral:rRNA from 1 species
UGCAAGUCGAACGGUAACAGAAAAAGCUUGCUUUUUGCUGACGAGUGGCGAACGGGUGCGUAACGCGUAUGCAACCUACCUUCUUCUAAGGAAUAGCCCAGAGAAAUUUGGAUUAAUACCUUAUGAUAAUAUUUAUUCGCAUGUUUAAAUAUUUAAAACUCCGGUGGAAGAAGAUGGGCAUGCGUAACAUUAGUUUGUUGGUGAGGUAAUGGCUCACCAAGACUACGAUGUUUAGGGGUUCUGAGAGGAUGAUCCCCCACACUGGUACUGAGACACGGACCAGACUCCUACGGGAGGCAGCAGUGAGGAAUAUUGGUCAAUGGACGAAAGUCUGAACCAGCCAUGCCGCGUGAAGGAUGACGGCCCUACGGGUUGUAAACUUCUUUUGUAUAGGAAGAAACCCCUCUACGUGUAGAGGGCUGACGGUACUAUUCGAAUAAGCACCGGCUAACUCCGUGCCAGCAGCCGCGGUAAUACGGAGGGUGCGAGCGUUAUCCGGAAUUAUUGGGUUUAAAGGGUGCGUAGGCGGAAAUUUAAGUCAGUGGUGAAAGCCUGCAGCUUAACUGUAGAAUUGCCAUUGAUACUGGAUUUCUUGAAUCUAAUAGAAGUAGGCGGAAUAUGACAUGUAGCGGUGAAAUGCUUAGAUAUGUCAUAGAACACCGAUAGCGAAGGCAGCUUACUAUGUUAGUAUUGACGCUAAUGCACGAAAGCGUGGGGAGCGAACAGGAUUAGAUACCCUGGUAGUCCACGCCGUAAACGAUGAUUACUCGCUAUUGGCGAUACACUGUCAGUGGCUAAGCGAAAGUGAUAAGUAAUCCACCUGGGGAGUACGAUCGCAGGUUGAAACUCAAGGAAUUGACGGGGCCCGCACGA